rnacentral:misc_RNA from 1 species
AGAAAAACAACAACAGCAGUUGGUUCUUGAGCGUAUGCUGCAGCAUCAGAUGUCUGAUCUUGGUUAUAGACGGUCAAAAGUGGAUCCUCUGAUGGAGAACUUGCUUGAUCAAGUUCAGUUCAGAAUGCAGCUGCCAGAACUGCAACAGAGUUCUCAUCCUUCUAGACACCUUGAUCCAUCACUGGAGCAAAUAAUCCGAGCUAAGGUUGGAUUGAAUUCUCUUCAAGAACCACAGGCUGAUUUCUUAGACCUAUUACAGGAAAAACAUGGAAAUGUACUCCCUUCCAACCAGUUUCAUUUUCAGGAAGAACGGUUGCAGGCACAACAAUUAUCUUUGGCACUGAAACAGCA